UACGAAGGGGGCUAGCGUUGUUCGGAUUUACUGGGCGUAAAGCGCGUGUAGGCGGGUCAUUAAGUUGGGGGUGAAAUCCCGGAGCUCAACUCCGGAACUGCCUCCAAAACUGGUGAACUGGAGCAGGACAGAGGCAAGUGGAAUUCCGAGUGUAGAGGUGAAAUUCGUAGAUAUUCGGAGGAACACCAGUGGCGAAGGCGACUUGCUGGGUCCUUGCUGACGCUGAGACGCGAAAGCGUGGGGAGCAAACAGG
rnacentral:rRNA from 1 species